rnacentral:rRNA from 1 species
ACGGAAGGCAGCAGUGGGGAAUAUUGCACAAUGGGCGAAAGCCUGAUGCAGCGACGCCGCGUGAGUGAAGAAGUAUUUCGGUAUGUAAAGCUCUAUCAGCAGGGAAGAAAAAUGACGGUACCUGACUAAGAAGCACCGGCUAAAUACGUGCCAGCAGCCGCGGUAAUACGUAUGGUGCAAGCGUUAUCCGGAUUUACUGGGUGUAAAGGGAGCGCAGGCGGUACGGCAAGUCUGAUGUGAAAGCCCGGGGCUCAACCCCGGUACUGCAUUGGAAACUGUCGAACUAGAGUGUCGGAGGGGUAAGUGGAAUUCCUAGUGUAGCGGUGAAAUGCGUAGAUAUUAGGAGGAACACCAGUGGCGAAGGCGGCCUGCUGGACUGUAACUGACGCUGAGGCUCGAAAGCGUGGGGAGCAAACAGGAUUAGAUACCCUGGUA